ACUGGCAGGCUAGAGUCUUGUAGAGGGGGGUAGAAUUCCAGGUGUAGCGGUGAAAUGCGUAGAGAUCUGGAGGAAUACCGGUGGCGAAGGCGGCCCCCUGGACAAAGACUGACGCUCAGGUGCGAAAGCGUGGGGAGCAAACAGGAUUAGAUACCCUGGUAGUCCACGCCGUAAACGAUGUCGAUUUGGAGGUUGUGCCCUUGAGGCGUGGCUUCCGGAGCUAACGCGUUAAAUCGACCGCCUGGGGAGUACGGCCGCAAGGUUAAAACUCAAAUGAAUUGACGGGGGCCCGCACAAGCGGUGGAGCAUGUGGUUUAAUUCGAUG
rnacentral:rRNA from 1 species